AGUCGGAUAGCUCAGCGGUAGAGCAAUUGCUUGAUAAGCGAUUGGUCGGGUGUUCAAGUCACCCUCCGACUACCA
rnacentral:tRNA from 1 species